rnacentral:rRNA from 1 species
CACUUCUAGCAUUAUCAGUAUUAGAAGCACUGCCUGCCCAGUGACACUAGUUAAACGGCCGCGGUAUCCUGACCGUGCAAAGGUAGCAUAAUCAUUUGUUCCUUAAUUAGGGACUUGUAUGAAUGGCUUGACGAGGGUUUAACUGUCUCUUACUUUUAAUCAGUGAAAUUGACCUUCCCGUGAAGAGGCGGGAAUAAAUUAAUAAGACGAGAAGACCCUAUGGAGCUUAAAUUGAAUUAUUCAAAUAACCUAAAUUAUUCCCCACGGGGCCAACUACACUAUACCUGAAUAAUAAAUUUUGGUUGGGGUGACCUCGGAGCACAAAAUAACCUCCGAGAACUACAGCUAAGACUUACCCGUCAAAGCACUUUAAACUAUUGAUCCAAUUCAUAUUGAUCAACGGAACAAGUUACCCUAGGGAUAACAGCGCAAUCCUAUUUAAGAGUCCAUAUCGACAAUAGGGUUUACGACCUCGAUGUUGGAUCAGGACACCCAAAUGGUGCAGCAGCUAUUAAAGGUUCGUUUGUUCAACG